rnacentral:rRNA from 1 species
UGAGGAAUAUUGGGCAAUGCCCGAAAGGGUGACCCAGCAACGCCGCGUGGAGGAUGAAGGUCGUAAGAUUGUAAACUCCUGUUAGAGGGGAAGAAUAACUAAGUUUGGAGCUUAGUAUGACUGUACCCUCAGAGAAAGCCCCGGCUAACUACGUGCCAGCAGCCGCGGUAAUACGUAGGGGGCAAGCGUUGUCCGGAUUUACUGGGUGUGAAGGGCGCGCAGGCGGAAUGGAAAGUCAGUGGUGAAAUCCUACAGCUUAACUGUAGAACUGCCUUUGAUACUUUCAUUCUUGAGUUCGGGAGAGAGAGACGGAAUUCCAGGUGUAGUGGUGAAAUACGUAGAUAUCUGGAAGAACACCAGUUGCGAAGGCGGUCUCUUGGUCCGAUACUGACGCUGAGGCGCGAAAGCGUGGGGAGCAAACA